rnacentral:tRNA from 1 species
GAGCGGCAGCGGCAUCGGCGGCCGGAGCGGCUUCGGCCGCCGGCAGCGGCAGGUUCGAACCCUGCGCGUUCA